GAUGAAGAACGUAGUGAAAUGCGAUAAGUAAUGUGAAUUGCAGAAUUCAGUGAAUCAUCGAAUCUUUGAACGCACCUUGCACCCUUUGGCUAUUCCGAAGGGUAUGCCUGUUUGAGUAUCAUGAACACCUCAACUCUUAUGGUUUGCCAUGAUGAGCUUGGACUUUGGGGGUCUUGCUGGCCUGUGGUCAGCUCCUCUCAAAUGGAUUAGCUUGCCAGUGUUUGGUGGCAUCACAGGUGUGAUAACUAUCUACGCUUGUGGUUUUCCACCAGGUAACCUUCAGCAAUGGGGGUUCGCUGGGGCUCAUAAAUGUCUCUCCUCAGUGAGGACAGCUCUUUGAACGUUUGAUCUCAAAUCAGGUAGGACUACCCGCUGAACUUAAGCAUAUCAAUAAGCGGAGGA
rnacentral:misc_RNA from 1 species